UUUUCUUAACCUUCGUGGUUAAUAAGCAUCAUUUUUCACCAUAAAUAAUUUCAUUCCUAUGGUACAUUCUAUAACAAAUGGUGAAAAUUCUCAAGAGAUAACUUGGGUGAGCAAUCCGGAAGUCCUCAAGAAGGGGGAUGUGGCCUUUCCACUUUAGAACGCAGCUUCUCCAGCCUUGUUUUGUGGAUUUUCCCCACCCUCCUCCAGGAAACCACAGAGACCAACCCUCACCAUUGCCCUCUCCCUGUGGGCCAACUUCUCAGAUGACUCCCGGCCCCAGUGGAGGGAAGUGCAGACCCAGGCAAGGGUCCUCGCCCUCCCCCAACCGCCAGGGGAGAGAGCCCUCCUGAUUCGGCUCAAUUCCACACACAUUCACCAGCCUCCCAGAAUGAGGCAGAAGCUGACGUGCAAAGAGAAACGCUGAGCUCCUGCUCUCAGGGGCUCACAGCCUGGAAGAAAUUUUGCGUGUAUUUGUUUUUGAGCAACUUCUUCCCUGAGAAUUGCUCACCUUCAGGGCCCUCCUGGGCUUGAAAGGGGAAUUGGCUUCAUUCACCUUUGGUAGGGUCCAGAAAGGCUAAGGCAGACAGAGACUCGGCUGAAAGGACCUGGAGAAUGAGGAAUCAUUUCUGAGAUUCCUGGAGGAGCUCUUUGCAGACAGAGGAUGGAGAAAGAGACAAUGGGGCCAGCCCCAGCAAAUGGUGGGAGGAGAGAGGUGACCCGGAAGACUCCAGCAGUAGCUGGAGAAGUUUUAGCAACCCAGACAUCUACCAUUCCUUUUUAGGUUGUUGUGGGGGCCAUUCAUUCACCGGCCGGUUCUCGGCCCCGGUGGAACCUGCUACCCGCCUGGAGCGCGGGGAAGUGAUGGAGCCGAGAGUGUCCAGCAGGGACAGCGCCUUCCGUGCAGGGUAAAAAGCCACUGCGAGCCAGGGACAGCUGGCCUCCAAAACCCCCAAGGACGCGGUGGAGGUACCUUCAGUUAAAAGUGACUACAACUGGGGCUGCUGUGCUGUGAGAUCUCAGAAGCCCCAGACAGCUUUGUCCGGACACAGCUGCAGCAGUAGACAGAAGGGCAGAAGGCCUGAAGGAGAAGGAUCCAACGUGAACAACAGCAGAAACUAACGAAUCAGUGCUGGGAAGGUAGCAGCAGUGGUCACAUAGUUUUUUACAAUCUCUUCAAAUCGCCAAUAAAAACAGUAACUUGAUAGCAGAACCAAAUCCAAGCAGAUAACAUCUAAAACCACGCCUGGCGAUGAAGUGCAUUCGUGUCCCAGGGCUAGUGUAACAAAGUGCCACAAACUUGGCAGCUAAAAUGAUGGAUAUUUCUCUCUCACCGUCCUGGAGGCCAGAAGUCCAAAACCAAGGGGUUGGCCUGGCUGGUUCUUCCCAGAGGCUCUGAGAGAGACUAUGCACACACACCUCUCCUUUAACUUGGCAACCCUUGACUCUCCUUGCCUUGUAGAUGUACCACUCCAAUCUCUGCCUCCAUCCCUGCGUCUCUGUGCCAAACCCCCCUCUCCCUUCUCUUCUAAGGACACCAGUCAUUGAUUUAGGGCUGCCCUAAAUUCAGGCGACCUCAAUUGAAUUGCAUCUGCAAAGACCCUGUUCCACGUCAGGUCACAUUCCCAGGCACUGGCAGUUAGCACUUUGACAUUCCCCAAAUUCCGAUCUUUGCGGCCUCGGCUCAGUGGGACCGAGGACAGUGGGACCAUCUUUGGGUCGGUGGGACCCCACCAGGCUCCCUUGGACUUCCGCUUGUGGUGCCACAGGGAAGCUGUAACCGGGCUGAGAGCCAGGGAACUAUGGGGCGCACACCUCCUCCUCUUCCUUGGAGUCUUGCACUACCUGUUGUUCACACCUGAAAUCAGUUGCCUCAUAAAUGUUGUCCAAUUUUAUGGUUGUUUAAUGUGGGAGGGUGAGUCCAGGACCGAGGACUCUGUCAGAGCUGGAGACCAAAGCCCACCCAAUAUCCCUGCAGAAGCUCCUUUUCACCUGAGCUCAGCCAGAACAGGCUUCUAUUGCUGGCAGCCAGGAGCCCCGCCUGAGCCGCGUGAUAAAUAAUGUCCUCUAGAACCUCCCUGGAGGCAGGUUCCAGGGCACCUCCUGUGGCCCCUUGGGACCCAUGGAUCGCACAGAGUGCAAUUCAGCAGGGGAAGUUUUCUGUACGGAAGGAAAGAUAGAGAGAAAAUGUAUAUAUUAGGUUGGUGCAAAAGUAAUUGCAGUUUUUGCCACUGAAUGUAAUGGCCUAUCCUCCUACAAGGCCGAGUUUAGGGAGACAUUUCAAAGAUCCAGAGCAACAGAUUCCACCCUACAGAAUUCAUGGAUAGUCACAUCCUGGGAAACCAUGGAGCUAUCGCGAGGGUCCCACGAAUCCAUGUGAUCCUAAGAAUUCGCUAUAGACUCAAUACUGGGCUGUUUCCAGGUAUGCACAGAGGCUGCUGCAUUUUAUAAAAUAAAAAUCCAUUUUAAAACUAUAAAUAAAUGCACGAUGGUUUUAGU
rnacentral:lncRNA from 10 species